UACGGAGGGGGCUAGCGUUGUUCGGAAUUACUGGGCGUAAAGCGCGCGUAGGCGGACCUGCAAGUCGGGGGUGAAAGCCCGAGGCUCAACCUCGGAACUGCCUUCGAUACUGCGGGUCUCGAGUCCGGGAGAGGUAAGUGGAAUUCCUAGUGUAGAGGUGAAAUUCGUAGAUAUUAGGAAGAACACCAGUGGCGAAGGCGGCUCACUGGCCCGGUACUGACGCUGAGGCGCGAAGGCGUGGGGAGCAAACAGG
rnacentral:rRNA from 1 species